rnacentral:rRNA from 1 species
UACGAAGGGGGCUAGCGUUGCUCGGAUUUACUGGGCGUAAAGAGCGCGCAGGCGGUCGUGCAAGUCGCGUGUGAAAGCCCCCCGGCUCAACUGGGGGAGGGUCACGCGAUACUGCUCGACUCGAAGGCAGGAGAGGGAAGUGGAAUUCCCGGUGUAGUGGUGAAAUGCGUAGAUAUCGGGAGGAACACCAGUGGCGAAGGCGGCUUACUGGUCCUAACUGACGCUGAGGUGCGAAAGCGUGGGGAGCAAACAGG